rnacentral:rRNA from 1 species
UACAGAGGUGGCAAGCGUUGUUCGGAAUUACUGGGCGUAAAGGGCGCGUAGGCGGUCUUUUAAGUCUUGUGUGAAAUCCCUCGGCUCAACUGAGGAACUGCACGGGAUACUGGAAGACUUGAGUUCGGGAGAGGGAUGUGGAAUUCCAGGUGUAGCGGUGAAAUGCGUAGAUAUCUGGAGGAACACCGGUGGCGAAGGCGGCAUCCUGGACCGACAUUGACGCUGAGGCGCGAAAGCCAGGGGAGCAAACGGG